AUUGUUGUUUUAGUAAAUCAAAACAUUUUAUUAAAAUGAUCAAUCACAAGGUGACCCGAUCACACCUCAUAAAAAAGAUUGGUGGCGACUCUCGCAGUUUUUCGUUUUAUUAAAAUAAAAAGUCGAACCUUUUCAAAAUGGUUUCAACACUUGGUUUUAAAGUGUUUUUCGACUUUUUUUAAUCUAAUUAGAAGGUUUCUAAAGUUACUUUGAAGUUUAGUUAAGG
rnacentral:lncRNA from 1 species